rnacentral:rRNA from 1 species
GACGAACGCUGGCGGCGUGCCUAAUACAUGCAAGUCGAACGCACUCUCGUUUAGAUUGAAGGAGCUUGCUCCUGAUUGAUAAACAUUUGAGUGAGUGGCGGACGGUGAGUAACACGUGGGUAACCUGCCCUAAAGUGGGGGAUAACAUUUGGAAACAGAUGCUAAUACCGCAUAAAACCUAACACCGCAUGGUGUAGGGUUGAAAGAUGGUUUCGGCUAUCACUUUAGGAUGGACCCGCGGUGCAUUAGUUAGUUGGUGAGGUAAAGGCUCACCAAGACCGUGAUGCAUAGCCGACCUGAGAGGGUAAUCGGCCACACUGGGACUGAGACACGGCCCAGACUCCUACGGGAGGCAGCAGUAGGGAAUCUUCCACAAUGGACGAAAGUCUGAUGGAGCAACG